UACGAAGGGGGCUAGCGUUGCUCGGAAUCACUGGGCGUAAAGCGCACGUAGGCGGAUUCUUAAGUCGGUGGUGAAAGCCUGGAGCUCAACUCCAGAACUGCCCUUCGAUACUGAGAGUCUUGAGUCCGGGAGAGGUGAGUGGAACUGCGAGUGUAGAGGUGAAAUUCGUAGAUAUUCGCAAGAACACCAGUGGCGAAGGCGGCUCACUGGGCCCCGGUACUGACGCUGAGGUGCGAAAAGCGUGGGGGAGCAAACAGGG
rnacentral:rRNA from 1 species